UCUUUGUUGAGCAUUUCGGCC
rnacentral:piRNA from 1 species